GCCAGUGUGGCACAGUGGUUUGAGCAUUGGAUUAUUACUCUGGAGACCAGGGUUCAAAUCCACACUCAGCCA
rnacentral:tRNA from 1 species